rnacentral:siRNA from 1 species
ACAAGAAUAUCAACCAACGCGUGA